GAGAGGUGCUGCAUGGCUGUCGUCAGCUCGUGUUGUGAAAUGUUGGGUUAAGUCUCGCAACGAGCGCAACCCCUAUCGUCUGUUGCCAGCAUUAAGUUGGGCACUCUGACGAGACUGCCUGGGUUAAUCAGGAGGAAGGUGGGGAAGACGUCAAGUCCUCAUGGCCCUUAUGUCUAGGGCUACACACGUAAUACAAUGGCGCGUACAAAGGGAAGCGAACUCGCAAGGGGGAGCAAAUCUCAAAAAGCGCGUCUCUGUCCGGAUUGGAGUCUGCAACUCGACUCCAUGAAGUUGGAAUCGCUAGUA
rnacentral:rRNA from 1 species